rnacentral:lncRNA from 13 species
UGUUAUUGGUAUAGUGAAUCUCAAAAAAUGUAGUGGCUCAAAACACUAUUCUCUUAAAAGUUCUGGGUGCCAGAAAUCUGAAAUAAAUUUUUGUUGCUGACAUCAAGGUAUCUGCAGAACUGGUUUCUUCUGGAGGCUCCAGCUAUGUAUCUGUUGUGAAAAUUCCCAUCCAGCUUCAAGAAUCACACUCUCAAGCAGAAGGCGAUCUAAGAGAAAGCAAGAGGCAC